CAGUCGCCGCGGUAAUACGUAGGGUGCGAGCGUUAAUCGGAAUUACUGGGCGUAAAGCGUGCGCAGGCGGUUAUAUAAGACAGAUGUGAAAUCCCCGGGCUCAACCUGGGACCUGCAUUUGUGACUGUAUAGCUAGAGUACGGUAGAGGGGGAUGGAAUUCCGCGUGUAGCAGUGAAAUGCGUAGAUAUGCGGAGGAACACCGAUGGCGAAGGCAAUCCCCUGGACCUGUACUGACGCUCAUGCACGAAAGCGUGGGGAGCAAACAGGAUUAGAUACCCGUGUAGUCCCUGUCUCUUAUAC
rnacentral:rRNA from 1 species